AAUUGACUAAGUGAUAUAGUGGAAUAAUACGGUUAUAUUAGAAUCUUGUUAAGUGAUGAAUAUUUUUAUAGGUAUCGACCGUACUAAAGCUCUCACUCAAGGCUUGAGCAUGGCUUGAGCGUAAGGAUAUUUAUUUAUAGCACCUUGCACUGGACUUCAGGUGAGGAUCCCUAUCCCUUGCCUAUUCUUUCUGGGAAACAGGAUAUAUGCCGAGCAAUCGUAUUGUUCGGUUUAUUAUUGUUAUUACUCGUCGUUUAAAUUCAAUAUAUAUUUAUUGUCGCCUAUCUUGUGAACUAAUUUGAUUUCCGAGAAUUUGUGAUUCUUGAGCUAUUGCAAUCUUCGAUCGAUUCGAAAUCCUUUUUCCUAGAACAUAAUAAGUUCUCAUCUUGAUUCGGGAAUUAUUCCAAUAAUUCUUUUCUCGAUUCCUUGACUACUCAAUUGAGUUCAUUUAUCGACCUUGAAUAAUUCAACUAGUUUCAAUCUGAUUCUCUAUCAAUUUUAAGUCGUUUCACAUGUAUACUAGUUGGAACCACUUCUAUUAUGAUUCAUUAAAUCAUUUGAUUUGUUUCUACAGGGGUUCAAUGAAUGUAAAUCGUUCAAUGACUGGACGAGGUAAGUAGCUACUUAUGCAAGAGCCCAGAUACAUUAUUGAAUUAUGAGUGCUACUAAGUGACAAAUGAUUGAAAUUGAUUCUAUCAUAUUAUUUCUUAUUUUCUAAUUGAAUUUUUUUUCCCUUUCUCAUGUUGGACUUUUUGAUGAAGUGAAAGAACGUUAUCGUGGAAGUCAUAUUUGUUGUCGCUUAACAAUUUAUGAAGUGGAAUUUAUUAUGAAAUAAUUAUAGUAAUCUUUCUUAUUAUUUGGAAUGAUUGAUUUAUUAUUGUAUUUUUGUAUGAUAG
rnacentral:lncRNA from 1 species